UAGAGUUUGAUUAUGGCUCAGGAUGAACGCUAGCGGCAGGCUUAAUACAUGCAAGUCGAGGGGCAGCGCAGUGUAGCAAUACAUGGGCGGCGACCGGCAAACGGGUGCGGAACACGUACACAACCUUCCUAUAAGUGGGGGAUAGCCCAGAGAAAUUUGGAUUAAUACCCCGUAAGAUAACGAUGUGGCAUCACAAUGUUAUUAAAGCUACGGCGCUUAUUGAUGGGUGUGCGGCUGAUUAGAUAGUUGGCGGGGUAAAGGCCCACCAAGUCUACGAUCAGUAGCUGAUGUGAGAGCAUGAUCAGCCACACGGGCACUGAGACACGGGCCCGACUCCUACGGGAGGCAGCAGUAAGGAAUAUUGGUCAAUGGACGCAAGUCUGAACCAGCCAUGCCGCGUGAAGGAUUAAGGUCCUCUGGAUUGUAAACUUCUUUUAUAUGGGACGAAAAAAGGACAUUCUUGUCCGUCUGACGGUACCAUAUGAAUAAGCACCGGCUAACUCCGUGCCAGCAGCCGCGGUAAUACGGAGGGUGCAAGCGUUAUCCGGAUUCACUGGGUUUAAAGGGUGCGUAGGCGGGCAGGUAAGUCAGUGGUGAAAUCCUGGAGCUUAACUCCAGAACUGCCAUUGAUACUAUCUGUCUUGAAUAUUGUGGAGGUAAGCGGAAUAUGUCAUGUAGCGGUGAAAUGCUUAGAUAUGACAUAGAACACCUAUUGCGAAGGCAGCUUACUACGCAUAUAUUGACGCUGAGGCACGAAAGCGUGGGGAUCAAACAGGAUUAGAUACCCUGGUAGUCCACGCCCUAAACGAUGGAUACUCGACAUACGCGAUACACAGUGUGUGUCUGAGCGAAAGCAUUAAGUAUCCCACCUGGGAAGUACGUCCGCAAGGAUGAAACUCAAAGGAAUUGACGG
rnacentral:rRNA from 1 species